rnacentral:rRNA from 1 species
UACAGAGGUCCCAAGCGUUGUUCGGAUUCACUGGGCGUAAAGGGUGCGUAGGCGGUUGGGUAAGUCUGAUGUGAAAUCUCACAGCUUAACUGUGAAACUGCAUUGGAUACUAUCCAACUCGAGGAAUGGAGGGGAGACUGGAAUACUUGGUGUAGCAGUGAAAUGCGUAGAUAUCAAGUGGAACACCAGUGGCGAAGGCGGGUCUCUGGACAGUUCCUGACACUGAGACACGAAGGCCAGGGGAGCAAACGGG